rnacentral:rRNA from 1 species
UCGACCUGAGCUCAGGCAAGACUACCCGCUGAACUUAAGCAUAUCAAUAAGCGGAGGAAAAAGAAAUCAACCGAGAUGCCCUUAGUAACGGCGAGCGAACCGGGCAAAGCCCAACUUGAAAAUCUCCAGCCUAUGGCUGGCGAAUUGUAGUCUAGAGAAGCGCUCUCUGCCCCACCCCGGCCCCAAGUCCCCUGGAAAGGGGCGUCAAAGAGGGUGAGAACCCCGUUGGGACCGGAUUUUGGGGCUCCACGAGACGCUUUCGUAGAGUCGGGUUGCUUGGGAAUGCAGCCCAAAGAAGGUGGUAAAUCCCAUCUAAGGCUAAAUACAGACGGGAGACCGAUAGCGAACAAGUACCGUGAGGGAAAGAUGAAAAGAACUUUGAAAAGAGAGUUAAAAAGUACUUGAAAUUGUUGAGAGGGAAGCGAUUGGAUCCUACGGGUGCGCCCAGGCACACGCCUGCCUAACGGUUGGCUGAAUGCGCUGGGUGCUGGUCAGCAUGGGUUGUCCGGGCGGGAUAAAACCGGGGGUUGUUACCCCGGCUAUGUCGCCUGGCCGACCGAGGAACGAAGGGCGCUCUUUGAGUCCUCCGGGAACUGCGCCCUCAAGAUGCUGGCGGAAAGGUUCUAAUCGGCCCGUCUUGAAACACGGACCAAGGAGUCUAACAUGCAUGCGAGCUGGUGGGUGGCAAACCCAUGAAGCGCAAGUAACCUGACUGGUGGGACGGCCUGUGCCUGCACCAUCGACCCCGCUUGAUGUUUUCAGAAGGCUGGGAGUACGAGCAUGCACGUUGGGACCCGAAAGAUGGUGAACUAUGCCUGAGCAGGGCGAAGCCAGAGGAAACUCUGGUGGAGA